rnacentral:tmRNA from 1 species
GGGGAUGCCAGGUCUCGACGGGAGAGGCUGGUUCCGGAUUGCGAGCCGAGAGGUACCGACCUCGUAUAAAUCAGUACAAAAACACAAGUGCCAAUCGCACAAGCUACGCUACCCUUCCUUUAGCUGCAUAAGUUAAAGUUCAAAGGUAGCUAACCUCCAAGAUGAGGUUACGUCCCCUGAAGUCGUUUUUCUGACCGAAUUCAGCAAGGAUGUCAUAGAAGUCAGAAUGCUGAGUCAAAAGUCGCGAUAAACUCAAAAGAGGAUCAUUGGAUUCAAGCGAAUAGUUUGCCGGUAGUUGCGCAGAACACCUUAUGGCAAAUGAAAUGAAAUCUUCUGCUACGCUCGUAGAUGUUCGAGAGCUUAAUCUUUCGGACGCGGGUUCGAUUCCCGCCAUCUCCACUA